rnacentral:rRNA from 1 species
AGCAGCCGCGGUAAUUCCAGCUCCAAUAGCGUAUAUUAAAGUUGUUGCAGUUAAAAAGCUCGUAGUUGAAUUUCGGGACUAAUAUGUCGGUCGUACUUUGUACGUACUAGCAUUAUUGGUUUCUCCCUUCUGACGAACCACGAUGUCAUUAAUUUGGUGUCAUGGGAAAUCAGGACUGUUACUUUGAAAAAAUUAGAGUGUUUAAAGCAAGCUCGCGCUUGAAUACAUUAGCAUGGAAUAAUGAAAUAGGACGUUUGAUUCUAUUUUGUUGGUUUCUAGGAUCGACGUAAUGAUUAAUAGGGAUAGUUGGGGGCAUUAGUAUUCAAUUGUCAGAGGUGAAAUUCUUGGAUUUAUUGAAGACUAACUACUGCGAAAGCAUUUGCCAAGGAUGUUUUCAUUAAUCAAGACGAAAGUUAGGGGAUCGAAGACGAUCAGAUACCGUCGUAGUCUUAACCAUAAACUAUGCCGACUAGGGAUCGGAUGAUGUUAAUUUUUUAAUGUACUCAUUCGGCGCCUUAC